rnacentral:rRNA from 1 species
AAAAAGCACCGGCUAACUACGUGCCAGCAGCCGCGGUAAUACGUAGGGUGCAAGCGUUGUCCGGAAUUAUUGGGCGUAAAGAGCUCGUAGGCGGUUUGUCGCGUCUGCUGUGAAAACCCGAGGCUCAACCUCGGGCCUGCAGUGGGUACGGGCAGACUAGAGUGCGGUAGGGGAGAUUGGAAUUCCUGGUGUAGCGGUGGAAUGCGCAGAUAUCAGGAGGAACACCAAUGGCGAAGGCAGAUCUCUGGGCCGUAACUGACGCUGAGGAGCGAAAGCAUGGGGAGCGAACAGGAUUAGAUACCCUGGUAGUCCAUGCCGUAAACGUUGGGAACUAGAUGUGGGGACCAUUCCACGGUCUCCGUGUCGCAGCUAACGCAUUAAGUUC